rnacentral:lncRNA from 1 species
ACAUCUUCUUUCUCCUAGCCUGCUCUUGGGACUGCCUCUGUUUGGCCACAUCAACACCAUCCUUGCCUUUAUUCAUUUCCUUGAGCCGUUUCAGACGCAUCUUAUCCCUCCACAUCCUCCUUUCCAGUUCAUCAACAUCAAUUUCCUCAUCAGUAUAGUCAUCAUCAACAACUGGGUCUGAUUCAGGUUCAGCCUGAGGAGUUACUGAAUCUGCUUCCUUGAGUGGAGCAGAAAAGAACUCCAGAUCACCGCAAAACCCGAUAUCGU